rnacentral:rRNA from 1 species
CCUACGGGGGGCAGCAGUGGGGAAUAUUGGACAAUGGGGGGAACCCUGAUCCAGCCAUGCCGCGUGUGUGAAGAAGGCCCUCGGGUUGUAAAGCACUUUCAGUGAGGAAGAACGCCUGGUGGUUAAUACCCAUCAGGAAAGCCAUCACUCACAGAAGAAGCACCGGCUAACUCCGUGCCAGCAGCCGCGGUAAUACGGAGGGUGCGAGCGUUAAUCGGAAUUACUGGGCGUAAAGCGCGCGUAGGUGGCUUGAUAAGCCGGUUGUGAAAGCCCCGGGCUCAACCUGGGAACGGCAUCCGGAACUGUCAAGCUAGAGUGCAGGAGAGGAAGGUAGAAUUCCCGGUGUAGCGGUGAAAUGCGUAGAGAUCGGGAGGAAUACCAGUGGCGAAGGCGGCCUUCUGGACUGACACUGACACUGAGGUGCGAAAGCGUGGGUAGCAAACAGGAUUAGAUACCCCUGUAGUC